GGGGAAUUUUCCGCAAUGGGCGAAAGCCUGACGGAGCAAUACCGCGUGAGGGAGGAAGGCUCUUGGGUCGUAAACCUCUUUUCUCAGGGAAGAACACAAUGACGGUACCUGAGGAAUAAGCAUCGGCUAACUCCGUGCCAGCAGCCGCGGUAAUACGGAGGAUGCAAGCGUUAUCCGGAAUGAUUGGGCGUAAAGCGUCCGCAGGUGGCAAUGUAAGUCUGCUGUUAAAGAGUCUAGCUCAACUAGAUAAGAGCAGUGGAAACUACAUAGCUAGAGUACGUUCGGGGCAGAGGGAAUUCCUGGUGUAGCGGUGAAAUGCGUAGAGAUCAGGAAGAACACCGGUGGCGAAGGCGCUCUGCUAGGCCGUAACUGACACUGAGGGACGAAAGCUAGGGGAGCGAAUGGGAUUAGAUACCCCAGUAGUCCUAGCCGUAAACGAUGGAUACUAGGCGUGGCUUGUAUCGACCCGAGCCGUGCCGUAGCUAACGCGUUAAGUAUCCCGCCUGGGGAGUACGCCGGCAACGGUGAAACUCAAAGGAAUUGACGGGGGCCCGCACAAGCGGUGGAGUAUGUGGUUUAAUUCGAUGCAACGCGAAGAACCUUACCAAGGCUUGACAUGUCGCGAAUCUUCUUGAAAGGGAAGAGUGCCUUCGGGAGCGCGAACACAGGUGGUGCAUGGCUGUCGUCAGCUCGUGUCGUGAGAUGUUGGGUUAAGUCCCGCAACGAGCGCAACCCUCGUUUUUAGUUGCCAGCAUUAAGUUGGGCACUCUAGAGAGACUGCCGGUGACAAACCGGAGGAAGGUGGGGAUGACGUCAAGUCAGCAUGCCCCUUACGCCUUGGGCUACACUCGUACUACAAUGCUCCGGACAGAGGGCAGCAAGCAUGCGAAUGCAAGCAAAUCCCGUAAACCGGAGCUCAGUUCAGAUCGCAGGCUGCAACUCGCCUGCGUGAAGGAGGAAUCGCUAGUAAUUGCAGGUCAGCAUACUGCAGUGAAUUCGUUCCCGGGCCUUGUACACACCGCCCGUCACACCAUGGAAGCUGGUAGUGCCCGAAGUCAUUACUCCAACCAUUCGUGGAGGAGGAUGCCUAAGGCAGGACUGGUGACUGGGGUGAAGUCGUAACAAGGUAGCCGUACCGGAAGGUGUGGCUGGAUCACCUCCUUUUUAGGGAGACCUACACCCCUUACAUAUCGAAAAACAUACAGUUAARUAGAUAGUAAGUUGGUCAUUCCUUAGGUCGGUCGAGAAUUGGUAUAAAGCUUUCAAAGUAUUAAUGGUUCAGGAUAUCAAGCAAAAAGAUACAUUGAGAGUUCAGCAACAUGACUUAAAUAAAGUCAGACUGCUGAGUUGAAUCUCAGCCAGAACCUUGAAAACUGCAUAGAAACGCGAAAUUAGCAGGCAGACACAGACAUUGAGAGUAAUGAAUGCCAAAUGCUGAGUACUGAGUAAAAUCAGUGCGAAGUCAGGAGGUAAUCAGAACUAACUAUUUGUUGUAGUGAAUGCAAAAUGUGAAACACCAAAUGAAUUGAGUGGUCAAGCUAAUAAGGGCUAACGGUGGAUACCUAGGCACACAGAG
rnacentral:misc_RNA from 1 species